rnacentral:rRNA from 1 species
CGGCGGACGGGUGAGUAACGCGUGGGUAACCUGCCUCAUACAGGGGGAUAACAGUUGGAAACGGCUGCUAAUACCGCAUAAGCGCACAGUACCGCAUGGUACGGUGUGAAAAACUCCGGUGGUAUGAGAUGGACCCGCGUCUGAUUAGCUAGUUGGUGGGGUAACGGCCUACCAAGGCGACGAUCAGUAGCCGGCCUGAGAGGGUGAACGGCCACAUUGGGACUGAGACACGGCCCAA